GAGUUUGAUCUUGGCUCAGAUUGAACGCUGGCGGCAUGCCUUACACAUGCAAGUCGAACGGCAGCACGGGAGCUUGCUCCUGGUGGCGAGUGGCGAACGGGUGAGUAAUGCAUCGGAACGUAUCCUGGAGUGGGGGAUAACGUAGCGAAAGUUACGCUAAUACCGCAUAUUCUGUGAGCAGGAAAGCGGGGGACCUUCGGGCCUCGCGCUCUUGGAGCGGCCGAUGUCGGAUUAGCUAGUUGGUGAGG
rnacentral:rRNA from 1 species